GGAAGUGAAUCCGGGCUGCCAAAGCAGAGUGUGUCGAACUUUAACCACUAGGCCAUUGGGGCUGGCUCCACCAAGUUGAUUUUUAUUUCAAAAUUUUCCAACUUCUAUUUUGAGAAACUCGUAGCCUUGCAGGAGAUUUGCAGAAGUUUCCAUCCAGUGUCUCCGAGCCUCCACGGUGCUGACAUCUCACGUGAUCUCAGUAGGUUUAGCGCAGUGGUACAGUAGGAUUGUGCCGAAUCCAAACGUCGAUACAAGACUGUCAGCUCAUCCACAGACCAAUUCACCUUUGGGCUGUAGCUGACUUGUGUCCCUCUUCUGGAGUUUGAUCCCAUCUGGUGCCUCACAUUGGUCAGGUGGUCUUGUCCCCUUGGUCUCGUCCAAUCCUUGAGUUUUGUGACCUGCAUCCCUUUGGAUUUGUCUGGCAUUUUCUCAGUUAGGUUUGUGGUUGUGAUUGUGGCAGGAGAACCACAGGAGCGAUGACCUGCUCUUCUCUGUGCCUCAGACCGGGGGGGACACGGUGUGUGUCUGUCUCAUUUCUGGUGAUUCCAACUUUGACCACUUGCUUGGGUGAUGUCUGCAGUUUCUCCACAGUAAAGUCGUGUGUCUCCCUCUGUCAUUAGUAGACACAGAAACUCUGCAAAGACCUCAUGGAAUUUUCUCUCAGCAGUUGUACGGUUCAUCUCUAGACAUUCCCGGUGGCUUCUUUGUCCACACCACUGCAUGCUGUGCAUCUGAGAGCUCCAGGACCUCAUCCUGGGCUCCAGCUGUCCCUCCCUGGAGCUGCCAGGUGGCAGCUUCUCCCCCACUGGCCGCCUCUCAAGGGGUGGGGCUGAUCUUUGAUCUUUGAUCCUCGUCCAUUGAUACUCAUUUGCAAAGGUCCUCCAGCCUGAAUGGCGGAAGCUUUUCUCCAGUGUAGAUUACUUCUCCUUCAGGUGGCGAUCUUCGGCUGGGGCCACUUCCGCCUCUGUAGGGGGUGGCUCAAAGCAGGACCCCUGCCACCUCGAGCUCCCCAUGCUGCUUGUUGAGGGGUCCUCGGAGCCCCUCACAUUUCUUCCCAUCCCAACUUGGAGCUUCCUGGGAGCCUGUCUGCCCCCAGCAUGAAUCCAGAGGCCCCUGGUGAGAUUUUCUCUUCUGCUGCCCCGCUCUUGGCUCCCGGGGCCCUUCGUGGUUAUUUUUACAGUCACAUCUCCUUGUCCGUGCACAUUUCAUUGCUUACCUCUCCCAGGGUCUCAGCCGUGUCUCUCUCUCCGAGCUCUCUUCCUGCAGCCUUGUUUUCUCUUCUUCCUCUUUGCUUCGUUUCUCCAGUUCCCUGCCUGCACUCCUCUCCCAGUGGGCGCUGAGGUUGACCAGAGGCUCUGCCUCUGCUCAGCUGUGUCCUCUGUCGAGGCCUUUUCCUGGGGCCCCGAUAUUCCUGCUCAAGGUCUGUCCUUUGCCUGUUGAACUCCCCAGAGAAGCUCCUUCUGGCCUCCUGCCUGGAGGGCCAUGGCCAGGCCCCUCUCGUCCUCAGUGUCUGCUUUCCUGCUGGCUCUCAGCCUCCAUCACAGCCCAGGGCCUCGCGCAGCCCGGUCUGCAGCUGCUGCUCCUGCGCUGCUUCCUCCUUAUUCCAGCCCCUCGGCCCCACCCCACCCCUCACCCCGGGAGUCCCAGAGGAGUCUGGAGCGCGCUUUCUGCUCUCCAGGCCUCGGCCCCUCUGUGGCCAGCUUUGACAUUCUUGCCUCCUCACCUCUCUCUCCUCCCACGUGGGUUUGUGUUAACUCAACAAAGUCAAGCAGACAGCUCAGAUACCUGGAUGUGAUUUAGUGAGCUUUGUAGGGAAGGAGCUAAAUGGCACCAACAUCAUCUGCACCUGGGGUCCAUAUUCUUUUCCCUUUUUUUGGUGAGGAAGAUUGGCCCUGAGCUAACAUCUAUGCCUCUUCCUCUAUUGUGUAUGUGGGAUGCCCCCACAGCAUGAGUGAUGAGUGGUGCGUAGGUCUGCACCCAGGAUCUGAACCUGUGAACCCCAGGCCACUGAGGCAGAGCACAUGAACUUAACCACUAGGCAACCGGGCCAGCUCCUACUUUCAUUUUUUAAGAUGUUCAAAGCCCUGCUUUGACUCCAGAGGCAUUUGGACUUGAUACAGAAGCUGUGUGCACUCAGAGGGCCCCUGUCCCCUCCAGUGGCCCAGGAAGAGCGGUUUCCUUGGCUGGGUGCAGAGGCCAAGUGGGGCCUCCCUGCUCCUGGGCUCCCAGCCAUUGCAUCGCUCCUUUACCAGACUGGGCUGUUUGUGCAGAUUCGAUGGUCACAAGGUUGUGCCCUGGAGGGCGAGUGUUUCGUGGUGGCCAGAGCGUUCGUCCUGGGCUUCCUGGACCCUGCUCUGGUUGAGAGUGGACACAGCAUUGGUCUGUUGACGGAGCCCAUGAGUGGCUGGGCAUCUGGGUCCCCGGCACCUGCUGUGUUCUGCUCUGGAAGCCCAGUCUCUGGCUCCCUGUGCAUGGGAGGAGGGCAGCGCAGCGCCACCUGACCAGAAACUUCCCAGGGCACAGGUCAGACCCGACCCCUGAGGGGCCAGCCGUUGGGAGGCUAGCCCAGGUCACCCAGGAAGCACUCACUCUGAAGUUGGGUCUUGGGGCCAGGGAAGGACGGGCCGGCAAUUGGACCUGCUACCAGUGCUGCCCACCCGCCCUCCGGCCACUCCCUCCGUCCAACACUGGCCGUUGAUCCAGCCUGAAAUCGGAAUCCAUAAUGAAAACGAAGGUUUAGCUCCAACUGUGUGGGCUCUGGUCUAAACAGGCGUCUGUAGAUCUGGGGGCGCACGUGUGGCUCGACAGGGCCCCUGAGGACCCGGGAGAGGCUGUGCUUCUGACAACGGACUUUGCUCAAGGGACACGGGAUGCUUUCCGUGUGUAAAUCUCAAGCUUGCAGGACAGUGUGGAAAUAACACGGUGCCUGCCCACGCACAUCCCGUGCUGUGUGACAUGUUUUUGCUUUUCCUCUGGGCCCUGUCCCUGGUCCUGUUGGUCCUCCACGAGAUAACCGCGGCCUUGACUUCUCUGUUCUUCACUCAUUUUCAAGACUUUUUAUGUUUUUUUCCUAAACAGUAAGUAGUGUUUUGGCAUAUUUAACAGCUCUUUGUGGAACCGUAUUGUGUGUCUCCCCACUGCCGGACCCCCCUCCACCGACUCAGCCUUGUUGUGUUGUUGCUGCGGCAGCUGUAAAAUUUCCCCGUUGGCUCGUGAGGCCGAGGCCCCUCUGACUGCCUGGGGUCCAGCCCCACGAGCAGACUGGUGCUUGUUCCUCCCGUGGAAAGGCAUUCAGGUUGUGCUUUGCUACUAACAAAAAUGCUGCAGGAAAGACCUCCCGAAGCGGGUUUUGGUGAGAGUUGAAGCGCCCAAGUCCCCAGGCCAUCAACUCUCUUCCUGCUUCAGCCUUGGCCAAGUGCUAUGGUUUCUCUCUCGUUCCCUGUCACUCUCAGUGACUCCUGAAAGGUCACAUCCGAGAGUUUCGAUCGGAAUCUAUUUGCAUUUGUGUUGUCGGCUGUUUCCAACAGUCAGUGGGGACAGUCGGUGACAGUAACAGAACUGUGAGUGCCUCGGCGGGGCAGUUCCAGCUUGGCGGCUCCCCGCUUGGUCACACUUGAGCAUCAGCCAAGGGGCAAAAGGUCACUGAGGCAACGAGGUACUCGGACUUCCCCCGCAGUUCUCUGGCCUCACUGGUCCAGGCAGAGCUGGACACCUGUCUGUCUGUCUGAGCUCGGGGUGUUUGCGUGCAGCUGCACCGAGGACCCCUGCCAGUCCAGGCAGGGAGGAAGGUGAGACCCUGCUUCCUUGUACGGCCGUGCCUCCGCAAGGACAGUUCACAGCGUUACCGCCCUGUGGCACCAGAGGGGGCAGGAAAACGAACGUUUUGAACCCGAGCUUCGUCUUGCAUCUGGUGGAGGAGGGAUGGUGGGUUGCCGGCUGGGCCUGUAGCACCUGCCUUUGCUCUUUGUGGUGUUUUUUGGUGCCGUGGGUACAUCUUGAGCGUCAACUCCUUGCCCUGCAAACAGGUUUGGUUUUCGAAACUCGGUGGUGGCUGUGGGGUACGUGUGACAAACACCAUGACAGAGUCCUCGAGGAGAGGGACCUGAUGCUGUUGGGGGCCUCGGAAUUAGAGUUGGGCCCUGACGAGGAGCUUUCCUGGGAAGGUAGAGCCCACACCCAGUGGUGCUUGUGUCCUGGAGGUGGGAGGGAGCAGGGAGAGAGGGCAGGGGUGCAAGGCCCCAGGCAGGUGGGGGUGCGGCCAGUCUAGGAGAGGGCCCGGCAGGAGGCCAGGAUGCUGGGCAUCCACAGACAGCAUUGGUUGGCUCCUGUGGUAAGGAGCCCAGGAGGCACAGUCUGGGACCCAGGGGCCCUCGGGUGGGGUGCUCUCUCUCUGCUCUUAGGGACCCUGCACCAUAGCAGUGGGCUUUGUUCCUGCAUUUCACCUCCACUUGCAGCCAGGCCCCUGUCCCUGGCAGUGGGGGCUGGGGUUGGAGCAUAGAUUCCCCACAUCUCCAACUCAGGGCGCAGCCAGUCCAGCUGCAGGGGAUUCCCGAGCCCGCAGAGGUUUUGCUCCUAGCAUGUUGUUGCCCCGAACAAGACAGUAGGACUGGGCUGGAGAAGAAUAAGAAGGAAGUGGGCAUUUUAGUGGAGACCUGGUGCUGUGGCCCAAGGAGCUCAAGAGCUUGCGGGUAUCCCGGGGACAGUAAGCCCGUGGGAGGGCCGGGCGCACACCCAUUGUGGUCUGGGGAGGCUGCCCUGCUGUGCUGAGGGUCAGGGUGCAGAUGGGUGGCAUGGAGGAGCUGAGGGUGCUCCCUGGGACCUCAUGGUGCUGAGCUAGUGUGUGACUGGGCAGACCGAGAGCACCAGAUGGACAGGCGGGUGGACACUGGGGGCCGAGGGAGGGCAGGAGGGCACUCAGCGCGUCUGGGGCUGCGUCACCUGGGCGCACGGCUGGAGCCAGGUUCCUGGUGUGGGGAAGCCACAAGUGCAGUGUGGACCACUUGGGUUUGAGGGACCUCUAAGCUCUUGUAGGCAGAUGAGCAGGAAGCAGUGGGGUGGGCAGCCUGAGCUCCUAGGGGAGCUCGGCCAGGAGGUGACAGCAUGUGUCCCUGUUGAGUGCCGGCAGGCGGGAGAGGAGCACAACCCCCUGGAGUGUGGUGCAGCUAGCUCAACACCCAAAUACCUCCUGCUCUGCACGCCUGGAAAUUAGGGAUAAGAUAUAAUAGGCGUCAUUUCAGAUGUAUGACUGAGCUCUGCAUAACACAAGGAAACCUCAGAUGUCAGAAACUGGGGAGGAAUAGGCAGUCCGAGUGGCCAGCCCAUGUGAGGCUGCCUGGGCAGGGUGGUGGCGGCCCAGGGACUUGGAUGUGACAUCCCUGGGGAAGGAGGUCGGACCCUGGCCCUCCUGAGAUGGCACAGGCAGUUGUCACUGAGAACCUUGAAAAAUUUGCCUCCCAGCACAGGAGAAAGACCAGUCCUGACUUAUGAGGGAAAUCACGACCAUGGGCCGGAGUACCAGGCGGGCAUGAGUUUGGUGUGUUGAGGGUUUGUCCAGAAAGCAUAAAGUCGGUCCUGGGCUGGUGACACCGCUGGGGCCCCUGGCAGAGGCAGACCCAAGCCUGUUUAAAGGCGCACCCUCAACUCGAGAAGGAGCUCCCUCGGCCCGGGUGCACAGGGCCCCAGGUCUCAGGUCCUGCUGAAGGCGGUGAUGACACGCACCAGGAACUGUCCACCACGAGCCAGUGGCACCCGACGCACGCAGGAAGCAGGGUCACACUGCGGAGGUCUUUGGGUGAUCAACUGUCAGAGACAGUAAAAUAGAAGAUGGAAAGAAGACAUCAGAAAGUUAAGGAAAGAACAAGAUGCUGUGAGAAAAACAGGCCAAUUUGAAAUGGAACCAAGCAGAACGUCCAUAAAUGAAAAGUACCGUGAUUGAAGUUUAAAACCCAAUGGGUGGGUUUUAACUCAGUGUCUGACAGUGGGAGCUCAGUCCUCCUGUGAAGAACAGCGCAAGGGUCCGCCCCGCGGCCAAAUGAUUAAGUUCACGCACUCCUCUUCGGCGGUCCAGGGUUUCGCCCAUUCGGAUCCUGGGCGUGGACCUAGCACCGCUCAUCAGGCCACGCUGAGGCAGGUCCCACACGCCACAACUAGAAGGACACACAGCUAGAAUAUACAACUAUGUACUGGGGGGCUUUGAGGAGAAGGAAAAAUAAAAUAAAAAGAACUCAAAAUGCUGGGUAAAAUAUUAAAGUCAGUUAGGGCCUGGGAAAGCCCAGCCUGAAAAGCUUUUAGGGGACAAGAUCCAUAAGGGGAGAGGCCCAGGGUGGUGGCCCGUCUCCUCCGUGGCUUCCACUGGUUGCAGAAUGGGUAGGAAGGUGCAGAGCACUUCUGACUGCCUCAGGUAGCAGGUGGCACAGACCUCAGGCCUGGGCUGAACUGAACCAGCCUCAGGGGCCAGGGGUCUUAGGACGACAAGACAGGGCCAGUGAGGGGAAGGCAGCCAACAGGAUGGGGCACCACGGCCAGGGCUGCCUGCAUCCUGGGUGUUGGACUAACACAGACAAGGAAAUGAGGCUGAAAUUCCAUGUAUGCAUUUUUCAAGUUAUGUUAAAUUGGUGCUUAAAACUUGGUGGAUGUUGACACCUUCAUAGUCAGAACUAACGCCCUUGCUUUUCCAACUGUUUCAGCCUGCACCCCACACUUUGCUGGGAGAGGCAUGCCCACUGGGAUCGCCGCUGCCCUCCCUCCUGGGGUCCCUGCACCUGGGGAGGCAGAGUGACCCGUGCCAGCCGCUGUCCUUGAGAUAAAGGCUUUCCACUUGCUGUGGUAGCAGCAUGUCUGUGUCUGCAAAACCUCAAGCAGCGGCAGAGCUCACCCCUGGCCCCAAGGAGAAGCCCAGGGGAAAGCCACUCCUCCCCUGGGACUCUCUCUUCAGCCACCGAAGUGAGAAGAUUGUCUUCACCAAGAGUGACAGUGUCCCCGAGGAGAACGUGCUCACCAUCACCAUCACGGAGACCACCGUCAUCGAGUCAGACCUGGGCAUAUGGAGCUCCCGCGCCCUGUUCCACCUCACGCUCUGGUUCUUCUUCAGCUUCUGCACUCUCUUCCUCAACAAGUACAUCCUGUCCUUGCUGGAGGGGGAGCCCAGCAUGCUAGGUGCUGUGCAAAUGCUGUCAACUACAUUUAUUGGAUGUAUUAAAAUAUUUGUUCCUUGCUGUUUAUAUCAGCACAAAACCCGGCUUUCUUAUCCACCCAAUUUCAUCAUGAUCAUGCUGUUUGUGGGUCUAAUGAGGUUCGCCACAGUGGUGUUGGGUCUGGUCAGCCUGAAAAACGUGGCGGUUUCGUUCGCUGAGACUGUGAAGAGCUCUGCCCCCAUUUUCACUGUGAUCAUGUCCCGCAUGAUCCUUGGCGAGUACACUGGGUUGCUGGUCAACCUCUCCCUCAUCCCAGUCAUGGCAGGCCUGGCGCUGUGCACGGCGACCGAGAUAAGCUUCAACGUUCUGGGAUUUUCGGCUGCAUUGUCCACCAACAUCAUGGACUGUUUGCAAAAUGUUUUUUCAAAAAAGCUCCUGAGCGGGGACAAAUACAGGUUCUCGGCUGCCGAGCUGCAGUUCUACACUAGCGCCGCCGCCGUGGCCAUGCUGGUCCCAGCCUGGAUCUUCUUCAUGAUGCUGCCUCAGCAUGGCUUGAUGAGCAGUGUGUGUGGGUCCACACCCAGGAUCCAAACCGGCGAAGCCUGGGCUGCCGAAGCGGAGUACGUGAACUUAACCACUGUGCCACCAGGCCAGCCCCAGAGCAUCAUUUUUGUUCUGGCACAUAGGACCUGCCUGUGAUUGGGAGGAGCGGGAAGAGCUUCAGUUACAACCAGGAUGUCGUGCUGCUGCUGCUGACGGACGGCGUGCUGUUCCACCUGCAGAGCGUCACGGCCUACGCCCUCAUGGGGAAGAUUUCCCCUGUGACUUUCAGUGUCGCCAGCACCGUGAAGCAUGCCUUGUCCAUUUGGCUCAGUAUUAUAGUUUUUGGCAACAGAGUCACCAGCCUGUCGGCCAUUGGCACCGUCCUGGUGAUGGUCGGCGUCCUGCUCUACAAUAAGGCCAAGCAGCACCAGCGGGAGGCCAUGCAGAGCCUGGCCGCAGCCACCAGCAAGACACCAGAGGACGACGUGGAGCCGCUGGUCCCCAAGGACCCCAGACCACACCACUGAGCUCCAGAAGCCUCGGCGGGCACCCAGGGCCCCGAGACGCUGCCUGUGGCUGCUCUCCUCCACGCCAACAUGGGUCCCCUGUGCUCCUCCUGCUCCCUGGAAACCAGGCUUGGGGACACCCAGCCUCCACAAGUCACAGUUGGGGCACAGGAAACUGGGGACCUACAGCCUUUCCUGCCUUUCUGGGGUUUUCAGUCAAAACCGACAGGAACUCAGUUUGAGAAUCCCAGAUAUCAGCUCCUGGGGACAGAGACCAGAGCCAGCUGCCACUGAGCCAUCACCAAGUAAUGUGAAAACCCCCCCAUUGACCCCCUGCUGAGUGCAUGGGAGGGGUUGGGACCCAGGCAAGCCUCUGCAUGUCCCUCACCAGGCACGCAGUUCCAGCUGCAGUGAGGCCAGGCACACAUUCCUCUGCGAGGGACAACUGUGAAGCCAGAGCCGGGUCCAGGUACCAACGCACACUGCUCCCUGCUCAGUGUCAGCAGAGGAAACCCAGCUUCCCCACGCCAGCCAUCAAUGGCCACUCUGCUCCUCAGCCAUCUGGGGAGACCGCAGUGCUAGGACAGAAGGCCAGAUUGCCCAGUACCUGGGCACAGAGGUCACAGCAGCCUGAGAGACCACUGAGCCGGGCAGAGUGGAGAGGAGACAGACAGGGUGCAGAAACAAGGGUCCCCUGCUGCUGAGGGUGGGGUGUUGGGCCCUUGCCUUCUCCCCCUUCCACCUGGAGCGUCCUCUCCCACCCCAGAGCUGCCAGCAUCUGGUACCACUUAAAGCAAGGUCCCUCAUGGAGGGGAGGGGUGCCCCAGCCCCUCUCAGAGUCUGCUGCACUAAGGCUCCUGCCUCCCAAGGGUCCUGCUCCUCGGGCUCCAGCCAGUGACCCCUGAAGUGGUGAUUUCCGGCCCUGGAGGUUGAGGACGGACAUCGGUGGUGGUUAACUUGGGGCAGGGAGAUGCUCAUGUUCCUGUUCUGGGCUCGUGUGUGUAACGGACUGUGCUGAGGGCUUGGCACAGCUGCCCUCACUUGGCUGGGCAGGAGCUGAGCCUUAACUGUGUCAUCGAGGAGGAUGUUAAGAUUUUCCUUGUGAAUGGAUGAGCAGGGGGAGCGGCGGGAAGAAUGUCUGCAGUGUUUUCAGUUUUCAUUAUGCUGCACUUAAAAUGACAGAAUAGUUUUUUAAAAAGGAAGCACAGGCCCAGAUGCUUCUGGGAUGCAUCAUGUUUGUUGGGUAAACCCCACUCUGAACCACAGCCCGGCCUGCCUGGCUCUCCUCUCCCAGAGCCUGUGUUGGGUUGAGGCUCCUAACCUCUUCGCUUUAUUCCUCAUCUUGCCUCCUGGUGGGAUUUCUGAUCAAGGCAGGUCUGUUGCCAGCCAGUGCUUGAGGCCCUCCCCAUCUUGCCAAGCUUGAGUUCUGGGGCUUGUCAAAUGCAGCCUGACUUAGUGGGCACGCUCUGGCCACCUGGCCAUCUGAAGCCUGCCUUCUGGGACUGAGUGAAUUAACUGAGGAAAGGAAUUUAAGGCACUAAUUGUUCCCUAAGUCUCAUUUCCCCUCCCUGCUGUUCAGGUCCUUGGCUCCCAUAAUUGGUUCACUGGUUUUCUAGUUGGCUUCUCAACUCGAAAAUAUAAAAACAGCCCCUCCUGGAGAUCAAAUCUCUUGGUAACAAAGAGCAAUAAUUACAUCUCAUUAAGUUCUACCUACCUGAAAAAGUUUGCCGUGAUCAUGGAUUAAAAUGAGGCCUUUUAAACUACAACCUUUUCACGAAGCUGAGCUGCAUCCAGAGGACAGGCAGGUGUGUGCUCCCCUGCACAGCCAGUUCACCUUCACCGUGAAGAUGUUUCUCGUGUGGCUUCCCUAGGUUUCCAGCCCUACCCCUCUCCUCCUGCUUCCCCACCAAACAAAACUAAAGAGGAUUCCCUGGAGGGGGUGCGGGUGGGAUGUUGCAUUGAACUGUGAGGACCAGAGGAAGGCACCACUUCCAUGGGGCUCCUGCCUCCGCCCUCAAGAAUGGGGCUGCUACGCCAGCUGCUUGCGAGUGGGAUGUGAACAGAGAAGGGGACCCAUCUUUGGUCACCCCGUUGCAGGAUUUUGACAUUGGCCUUCUCGCAGACUUUGUCAUCUGAGUGUAAUGAGAUACACAGGCACCUGCUUCCAAGUAUUGUUAGGGGUUUCCAGUCCAUGUCUCGAGUGGAACUACAAAGCUGCGCGUCAUGGCGUGCCCCUCCCUCCACCCCCACAAGUGGCUUCAGCCUGUUUUAGUUUUCUAAAUUUUGGACCAGAAACAAAACGAAGAUUUUCCUAAAUUAUUAGUAAAUGAGGCAAUUUCCUGCAGAGCUGCUUUUGAGACUUUCCUUGUCCUGGGUGGGAAAAGCACCCAGGGACGUGCUGUGGCCGGCCCCGCCCUCACUCCGGCUUACGUUCCUUCCAUCCUUUAUCAGUCUCGUCUCCACUCCACGUCGUCGCCCACUGGGCAUUUCCAGGACAGCUCCAUGUGAGGAGUCCAAACCCGCAGCCUGGUUUGUUAAUGACUGCACAGACAUGUUUUUUUAAUUAACUUUGUCUAGUAGUGUUUAUAGUAUGUUCUUGUUGAACUGCCACAGACGUGUUGGACCACCAUGGACAAUGAGUGUGGCUAUACUGGGUCAGUUCCUCCCGUGUCCAUGGUCGCUGUCCAUGCCUCUGUAAACACACACUUGAACCAGUCUUCCGAGACAGCUCUCUGUUUGCUUACGUCGAUACUUAGAGAUGUACAGGUCUCUGGCUUUCAAGGAAACUUCCACUACUGAAUGGCAUAAAAAGCUUUUUUUUUUUUUUUUUAAAGAUUGGCACC